GACGAACGCUGGCGGCGUGCUUAACACAUGCAAGUCGAACGGAAAGGCCCUGCUUUUGUGGGGUGCUCGAGUGGCGAACGGGUGAGUAACACGUGAGUAACCUGCCCUUGACUUUGGGAUAACUUCAGGAAACUGGGGCUAAUACCGGAUAGGAGCUCCUGCUGCAUGGUGGGGGUUGGAAAGUUUCGGCGGUUGGGGAUGGGCUCGCGGCUUAUCAGCUUGUUGGUGGGGUAGUGGCUUACCAAGGCUUUGACGGGUAGCCGGCCUGAGAGGGUGACCGGCCACAUUGGGACUGAGAUACGGCCCAGACUCCUACGGGAGGCAGCAGUGGGGAAUAUUGCACAAUGGGCGGAAGCCUGAUGCAGCAACGCCGCGUGCGGGAUGACGGCCUUCGGGUUGUAAACCGCUUUCGCCUGUGACGAAGAGUGAGUGACGGUAAUGGGUAAAGAAGCACCGGCUAACUACGUG
rnacentral:rRNA from 1 species